rnacentral:lncRNA from 1 species
UCGUCUCUGAGCUCGCCGGCAACGAAUUUCUGGCGACCUCCAACAUUCACCGUGGGCGUGGUGGAUGGGUAAGCGCGCGGCCACCAUGUUCUGGCACUAGUAGGCAACCAUAUCUGGAAGCAUUUUUAAGGGGACAUGGCAUCAAACGAUUGGCAAAAUCUGAAAAAACACGCGGCAUGCCUACAGCGUUACCGUAUCUAGCCACAAAAAGAUUGGCGAAAUCUCAAAAACAGAUGCACUCUGUUUUCCUUCAGUCUUCCUUGUGUCGUUCUUCAGGUUCAUCUUCUUUCUAGCAUUUCAUCUUCAGCCCGAAGAUCGGAGCACUGCCCUUCCUCAUGUUUUAUUGCCAUUCGGUAUUCCGGUCUCCCACAUCCAAGUCAGCUGCUCCAAGUGAGCGGUAUAUCUUCACCUUGUCCACCACAGUACUCUAGAACAUAGGCUGCUGAACCAGUCUUUGAGCAGUUCCCAUGCUUAUUGCCGAAUCAGCUCGAUAUUGAUCCAAUUCUGUCUGGAAAAAAAAACAAAUCAUUAUGAUGAAGCCCAAGUGUGCCGAGCAUAGAAUAUUCAAGAAGCAUAUCUUUCAUUGCAAAUCCAAUAUCUAGACACAGACUGAUAAUCCUGCAUUGUACAGUAUAAAAAAAUUCUAACAAAAUGCAAUUUAGCCACCACACAUCCGGACAACAAUCUACCGAACAGCAUGGAUGUACAUCUGCUAACUUAGGAUUCAUGGUCAUGCCAUAGGUCAACAGUUUAACUUGAGCCUUCAUUUUUCUAAGGUAAAAUGGUGAGGAAUAUCUCUUGCCUAUGAGCAUGUGAUGCUGUCACAAUCGUUUAACUGCACCACAGUACAAGGAGAGAUAAGUUACAUAGUAGGAAACCUUCCUUGGCAUUUUCUGAACUUGGACUAGGCCCCAUAUGUAGAGUUCUUUUCAUGAUAUACCGAUUUAGCAGAACAGACAUGGUGAAUAUAUGGGCAGGUGGAUUUUGUUACCUUUUGAUUCCUUAGUUAGGAUCAUUAAUAAUGAUAUCUUUUCUAUUGUUUUCAGCUUCUCAUGUUGCUGUGAGGAAUGAAAAAGAUGUAUGUCUGGCUGUCUGCGCGACUGCACCAUCCCUGGUGAGGACACAAUGAGCAGAGUCGGAGCCCAACCCCUUUUCACACUCUUUA